CCUACGGGCGGCUGCAGUGAGGAAUAUUGGUCAAUGGGCGCGAGCCUGAACCAGCCAAGCCGCGUGAGGGAAGACGGUCCUAUGGAUUGUAAACCUCUUUUGUCGGGGAGCAAAAGACGCCACGCGUGGCGUUCCGAGAGUACCCGAAGAAAAAGCAUCGGCUAACUCCGUGCCAGCAGCCGCGGUAAUACGGAGGAUGCGAGCGUUAUCCGGAUUUAUUGGGUUUAAAGGGUGCGCAGGCGGAAGAUCAAGUCAGCGGUAAAAUUGAGGGGCUCAACCUCUUCGAGCCGUUGAAACUGGUUGUCUUGAGAGAGUGAGAGGUAUGCGGAAUGCGUGGUGUAGCGGUGAAAUGCAUAGAUAUCGCGCAGAACUCCGAUUGCGAAGGCAGCAUACCGGCGCUGAACUGACGCUCAGGCACGAAAGUGUGGGUAUCGAACAGGAUUAGAUACCCUAGUAGUC
rnacentral:rRNA from 1 species